ensembl:lncRNA
GGGGGAUCAUUUAUGAGCAGAGCAGUUUAAUCUCUCAAGUGUUGUUGUUUCACUGCAGUGAAAACUAGCCUCCGGCCAUGGGAACAGGCUCCUCUUCCCCCUCGUUCUCCUAGAUGUUCCAUCAAAGGAGAGAGAGAGAGAGAAGAGAUAGAGAAAAGGGUGAGAGAGGGAGAAGAUAGAUAGAGAAGAGAGAGAGAGAGAGAGAGAGAGAGAGAGAGAGAGAGAGAGAGAGAGAGAAUAGAUAACCUCUGUCGCUCUGCCCCUUCCCUCUGUGAUUCUGCCUGUACCUACCGCCCCCGAGCCCCACUCAUAACGGCGUGUAUAAAGCCAGCAACACAGUCUUGGGCUCUGCUCCCAUUUGUUACAGGGAAAUAAAGAGAGCGAGGGGGGAGAGAGAGGUAGGCUUGUACAGAUACUGGUAUUAGGCUAUGGGCCAACAUAAUGUGUUCACCAACGGAGGAGGAGGAGGGCCUUGGGGCUGCUUCUGAACACAGGAGACGAAUGGAGUAGACAAGCAAACAAGGGCCAAUGGGAAAGAAUGAGUGUGGCGGAAUGGCGGAAUGAGUGUGUGUGCGUGGGUUGGGGGUGGGCGGGGGUUGGGGGUGGGGGUGGUGGGGCCGGUGGGGGAGUUUAAGAUAAGGCUAAUUCUCAUCAGUGGUGUUUGUUGUCGGAGCAAUUGUCGUCUCAAACACAAGGACAAAUGCCCUGUUUUGUUUGGUCAACCAGGAGCCGAUCUCUGCCUCUGAUAACAGAAGGGGAGGAGCUCUAUCCUCGACAUUUAUCCAUUUAACUUAUUGCCUCCAGGAAGUGAGCAACUGAUGGGGAAUUCUAGCCCCCUUUUUUAUUAUCUUUUCCCCCCCUGUUUAAUUGAGGGUGCCGACGUGCCCGUGUGCCCAUGCACACACAUUCCCUGCGACUCAGCGGAAACUCUGACCGACACACAACUGUUGAGCAGGUUCCCCGGCCCCCUCUGCUUCCCACACCCGGCCCGGCCCCCUCCAGGGGUUUCAAGGUCAUUGCGAAGGGCAGAGCAUGAGAACCCCCUGCUUGGGAAACUAGUAAAGGCCCCCACCCGGGUCUGUCGUCUCCCGUGGUCUCAGCGUUUCUGCCAGACCCUUGGACCGACAGGGCGAUGCACUUUUGGGGUGUGUGAACCGACGGUGUGAUCAGUAAACUUUUGAUCGCCACAGACUCGGACAGGAAGUCAACUCCUGAGCCAUCAAUGACGUCAGUGACGGACGGCCUUCAUUGGUCUUGACAGGACAGGGGUGGGAGUGACGGAGCAGCCAUUAAGGAUUGACAGCAAAGGACUCAUUUGGGACCAGUCACACAGAUCUGGCUAACUGGCAAAGGACAGCACCGCCGGAGUGUGUGUGUGUGUGUGUGUGUGUGUGUUUGUGUUGUGUAUGGUUGUCCGAGUGUAUGUGCAACCUUUCGACAGCUGAGUAUUAUGUGCGUGCGUGUGUGUGUUUGUGUGUGAUGGGGGCGGAGGGGGGGGUAACAAAAAUUAUGUGGGCAGCUGCCACCCCAUUACCCAGGGCUCACGCUCCAAAUGGAGAAGGUAGACACACACACACACACACACACACACGCAAAAAUAUGUUUGGAUAUGAACAGCUCUGUCUCUCUUUCUGGCCGUUUGUCCCAUCUUUCUCUCUCCCCCUCUUGUGCACACACACAUACACACACACUCACACAACCUCACAUUCACCUAUAAAACCAGGCAGACAGCAACCAUCUUGAAUGCCAACAAGGACACUGAUAAAUAGGCAGCAGUUGCUGAAGGCAUAUUAGGGCAAAGGGUGACCUGGGAGGAGCCUUGGAGGGGGAUGAAGAUGUAGCUUGAAGUGUGUGUG